rnacentral:rRNA from 1 species
GACGAACGCUGGCGGCGUGCUUAACACAUGCAAGUCGAACGGAGAAUUUAUUUCGGUAAAUUCUUAGUGGCGAACGGGUGAGUAACGCGUGGGCAACCUGCCCUUCAGAUGGGGACAACAUCCCGAAAGGGGUGCUAAUACCGAAUACGAUCACGCUGCCGCAUGGCGGAGUGAUGAAAGAUGGCCUCUAUUUAUAAGCUAUCGCUGAAGGAUGGGCCUGCGACUGAUUAGCUAGUUGGUGGGGUAACGGCCUACCAAGGCGAUGAUCAGUAGCCGGUCUGAGAGGAGGAGCGGCCACAUUGGGACUGAGACACGGCCCAAACUCCUACGGGAGGCAGCAGUGGGGAAUAUUCCGCAAUGGACGAAAGUCUGACGGAGCAACGCCGCGUGAGUGAUGAAGGUUUUCGGACUGUAAAACUCUGUUGUUUAGGACGAAAGUGCCUGUUGCAAAUAGUUGCAGGUAUUGACGGUACUGAACGAGGAAGCCACGGCUAACUACGUGCCAGCCGCCGCGGUAA